UCUUCCUUCAACAUGUUCUUUCAUCUCUUCCUCCCCAAAUCAACUCCCUCUCCAGUCUCCACCACCAAAUCUACCCUCAAGUAGUAGAGAUCGAUAGGAGCUUCGACCUUCGAGGGUGGUUGCAGCAGCACUCCUGAAGGCCGUGGUGGGCGUGGGCUGAUUGCAUCUGUUUGCGGGUGAGAGGCGACGCCGGGACAGGGGUGAAUCAAGGCCACGGCGACCUGUGCAGCGUGGUGUUGCCGAGCUGCUCUCUAGUUAGCAUUUAGCAAAGAUCGGUAAGGCCGAGAAGUCAAGAACUUGAGCUAUGCUUGCAAAACUUGAUAAAUGAAUCAUAUUACUGCGCUUGAUGACUUCUGGAAGUGCUAUUACGUACCAUUUCAAUUGGAUACAACUACUGCAGAAGGCUAUAUUUGUGUUUUAUUUUGACUUUUGAGAGAGCAAAGCCACAAUCUAUUAAGUGUUCGUCAAUUUUCAACUCUGGAUGUACUCUCCCUCUGCGUGUGUGUGUUUUUUUCUUUUGUUUUUCGAUGGGCAACUCUGCAUGUACUCCCAAUUUUUACUGUUGAGAUUAACUUUGUAAUGCAGUAUAUAUAUUUUUUGUUCAAG
rnacentral:sRNA from 1 species